UUGGUUAAGCUAAUAAGUGCGCACGGAGGAUGCCUAGGCGCCAGGAGCCGAUGAAGGACGCGACGAACAGCGAUAUGCUUCGGGGAGCUGUAAGUGAGCUUUGAUCCGGAGAUUUCCGAAUGGGGAAACCCAGCUAUCGUAAUGGAUAGUUACCCUCGAGUGAAUACAUAGCUCGUUGGAGGCACACCAGGGGAACUGAAACAUCUAAGUACCCUGAGGAACAGAAAACAAUAGUGAUUCCGUCAGUAGCGGCGAGCGAAAGCGGAGAAGCCCAAACCAAGGAGCUUGCUCCUUGGGGUUGUGGGACGUCUCACAUGGAGUAAAAAAAGAGAAGGUUAGGCGAAGAGGUCUGGAAAGGCCCGUCACAGAAGGUAACAACCCUGUAGCCGAAAGUCUUCUCUCUCCGAGACGGAUCCCGAGUACCGCGGGACACGAGAAACCCCGUGGGAAUCCGGCAGGACCAUCUGCCAAGGCUAAAUACUACCUGGCGACCGAUAGUGAAGCAGUACCGUGAGGGAAAGGUGAAAAGCACCGCGGGAGCGGAGUGAAAAAGAACCUGAAACCGUGCGCUUACAAGAAGUCAGAGCCCGAUCUAGGGGUGAUGGCGUGCCUUUUGUAGAAUGAACCGGCGAGUUACGUUCACGUGCAAGGUUAAGCUGAUGAGGCGGAGCCGAAGGGAAACCGAGUCUGAAUAGGGCGAAUAAGUACGUGGUCGUAGACCCGAAACCGUGUGAUCUACCCCUGUGCAGGGUGAAGGUGAGGUAACACUCACUGGAGGCCCGAACUCGUGAGCGUUGAAAAGCUCUGGGAUGACGUGGGGGUAGGGGAGAAAUUCCAAUCGAACUCGGAGAUAGCUGGUUCUCCCCGAAAUAGCUUUAGGGCUAGCCUCGAGGUGAAGCAUCAUGGAGGUAGAGCACUGAUUGGGUGCGGGGCCCGCCAAGGGUUACCAAGUCCAGUCAAACUCCGAAUGCCAUGCAUGUAUACUCGGGAGUCAGACGGCGAGUGCUAAGAUCCGUCGUCAAGAGGGAAAGAGCCCAGAUCAUCAGCUAAGGUCCCCAAGUGUGUGUUAAGUGGGAAAGGAUGUGGAGUUGCGAAGACAACCAGGAUGUUGGCUUAGAAGCAGCCACCAUUUAAAGAGUGCGUAAUAGCUCACUGGUCGAGUGACUCUGCGCCGAAAAUGUAACGGGGCUAAACACACCACCGAAGCUAUGGCAUGUACCUUAGGGUACUUGGGUAGGGGAGCGUUGAAUGCGGGUUGAAGUCAGACCGGAAGGACUGGUGUUCAAGAUUUCGGCAAAUGUAACGGGGCUAAACACACCACCGAAGCUAUGGCAUGUACUAGGGUACUUGGGUAGGGGAGCGUUGAAUGCGGGUUGAAGUCAGACCGGAAGGACUGGUGGACUGCAUUCAAGUGAGAAUGCCGGUAUGAGUAACGAAAAGACAGGUGAGAAUCCUGUCCGCCGAAAGCCUAAGGGUUCCUGGGGUAGGUUCGUCCGCCCAGGGUAAGUCGGGACCUAAGGCGAGGCCGAAAGGCGUAGUCGAUGGACAACAGGUUGAAAUUCCUGUACCACCGUAAUCCGUUAUGAGCGAUGGGGGGACGCAGGAGGGGAACGACGCGAGCUGAUGGAUAUGCUCGUCCAAGCAGUGAGAGGUGUGUGUAGGCAAAUCCGCACACUAUAACCUCAAGCUGUGAUGGGGAGGGAAAAUCAUAGUACCGAAGGUCAUGUACCCACGCUGCCAAGAAAAGCCUCUAGCCAGGAGAAGGUGCCCGUACCGUAAACCGACACAGGUGGGCGAGAUGAGAAUUCUAAGGCGCGCGGAAGAACUCUCGUUAAGGAACUCGGCAAAAUGACCCCGUAACUUCGGGAGAAGGGGUGCCCCGGUAGUGUGAAUAGCACGAGGGGGCCGCAGUGAAGAGGCCCAAGCGACUGUUUAGCAAAAACACAGGUCUGUGCGAAGCCGCAAGGCGAAGUAUACGGGCUGACGCCUGCCCGGUGCUGGAAGGUUAAGAGGAGUGGUUAGGGGCAACCCGAAGCUAUGAAUUGAAGCCCCAGUAAACGGCGGCCGUAACUAUAACGGUCCUAAGGUAGCGAAAUUCCUUGUCAGGUAAAUUCUGACCCGCACGAAUGGCGUAACGACUUGGGCGCUGUCUCAACGAGAGAUCCGGUGAAAUUUUAGUACCUGUGAAGAUGCAGGUUACCCGCGACGUGACGGAAAGACCCCAUGGAGCUUUACUGUAGCUUGAUAUUGAACUUUGGUACGGUCUGUACAGGAUAGGUGGGAGCCUAUGAAGCAGGAGCGCAAGCUUCUGUGGAGGCGCCGUUGGGAUACCACCCUGAUCGUAUCGGAGUUCUAACUCACUACCCUUACCGGGUAGGAGGACCGUGUCAGGCGGACAGUUUGACUGGGGCGGUCGCCUCCUAAAAAGUAACGGAGGCGCUCUAAGGUUCCCUCAGCGCGGUUGGAAAUCGCGCGCAGAGUGCAAAGGCAUAAGGGAGCUUGACUGCGAGACCUACAAGUCGACAGGGACGAAAGUCGGACUUAGUGAUCCGGUGGUACCGAAUGGAAGGGCCAUCGCUCAACGGAUAAAAGCUACCCUGGGGAUAACAGGCUUAUCUCCCCCAAGAGUCCACAUCGACGGGGAGGUUUGGCACCUCGAUGUCGGCUCAUCGCAUCCUGGGGCUGAAGUAGGUCCCAAGGGUUGGGCUGUUCGCCCAUUAAAGCGGUACGCGAGCUGGGUUCAGAACGUCGUGAGACAGUUCGGUCCCUAUCUGUCGCGGGCGUAGGAAAUUUGAGAGGGGCUGUCCUUAGUACGAGAGGACCGGGAUGGACGCACCGCUGGUGUACCAGUUGUUCCGCCAGGAGCACCGCUGGGUAGCCAAGUGCGGAAGGGAUAAGCGCUGAAAGCAUCUAAGCGCGAAGCCUGCCUCAAGAUGAGAUUUCCCAAUUCGUAAGACCCCUGGAAGAACACCAGGUUGAUAGGCUCGGGGUGGAAGCGCGGCAACGUGUGGAGCUGACGAGUACUAAUCGGUCGAGGGCUUAUCCUA
rnacentral:rRNA from 1 species